rnacentral:lncRNA from 1 species
CCGCCAUCUCAACAACUCUCCCUUUCGAAUGAUUUUUUUUCAUCAUUUUAUCAUCUUUCAAUAAAUUUGUGGCUAUGCCUCCCUUACAUUAAAAAUAAAAAUAAAAAAAUGAAAAAAAAAAAUUGAUUGAGAUGUUAUUAAAAAUCUUUGAUUGAAUAACCAACCAAUAGGAUGUACUCCCCGAGUUCAAAAUCAAAAUAAAAAGAGGAUCACCGCAUGCAUCCGUACAAAGUAGAAAUGACUCGUACGAUUCCUCUAAUUAAAUUUUUUC